GUGAGGAAUAUUGCGCAAUGGAGGCAACCCUGACGCAGCCAUGCCGCGUGCAGGAAGAAGGCGCUACGCGUUGUAAACUGCUUUUAACCGGGAAGAAACCCCAGGACGUGUCCUGGGUUGACGGUACCGGAGGAAUAAGCACCGGCUAACUUCGUGCCAGCAGCCGCGGUAAUACGAAGGGUGCAAGCGUUAUCCGGAUUCAUUGGGUUUAAAGGGUGCGUAGGCGGAGCGUUAAGUAAGUGGUGAAAUCCUGCAGCUUAACUGUAGACUUGCCAUUGAUACUGGCGCUCUUGAGUGCGCUUGAAGUGGGCGGAAUGUGCCGUGUAGCGGUGAAAUGCUUAGAUAUGGCACAGAACACCAAUUGCGAAGGCAGCUCACUAAGGCGAUACUGACGCUGAGGCACGAAAGCGUGGGGAUCGAACAGGAUUAGAUACCCUUGUAGUCC
rnacentral:rRNA from 1 species